UACGUAGGGACCGAGCGUUGUCCGGAAUCAUUGGGCGUAAAGAGCGUGUAGGCGGCCUUUUAAGUCCUGCGUGAAAUCCUGCGGCUCAACCGCAGACGGUCGUGGGAAACUGCAGGGCUAGAGUCCGGAAGAGGCGAGUGGAAUUCCUGGUGUAGCGGUGAAAUGCGCAGAUAUCAGGAGGAACACCGAUGGCGAAGGCAGCUCGCUGGGACGGUACUGACGCUGAGGCACGAAAGCGUGGGGAGCAAACAGG
rnacentral:rRNA from 1 species